GCUAAAGUUAGGAAGACAUUAGUUCAAAUCCAGACUCAGUUGCUUACUAAGUCUGUGACCCUAGACCAGUCAUUUAAUCUGUGUUUGUCUGAGUUUUCUCAAUGAUAAAAUGGAGUAAUUAUAGCCACUGCUUCACAGGAUUUUUAUGGUGAUCAAGUAAGAUAUUUAUUUUAAUAAAUGUUUAUAAGUAAUGAAUAGGAAGAUAGGGACUAUACAUGCAGAAAAUAUCUCCUAGAUAAAGAAACCUACUCUGUAAUAUACAUCAACACAUUUUCUACAACAUAGACUCUUGGAGAGUUGCCUAGAAAACCGGAAUGUUGUGACUUUCUUAGGGUCACUUGGUGAGAAGUGUCAUAGGAAAACUUAGACCCAGUUUUCCCCCCUAGUUUUGAGUAGAGGUCUCCAUUAACUAUGCCAAUUUUUGUAAAAAAUUAAAUUUACUAAAUAUGAGCAAAGGUGCUAAAAUGAUAUAAAAUAUAUAUUUCAGAACCUACUUGCAAGAAAGAGAUCAGAACCAGGCCUAAAACACAUGCGAUGUUUACAACAAUUAAAAAAACCAAAGCACUUUAAGAUUUUAAAAUGUAAUCAAUGAAAUGAGCAUUCAUGUCACUAGAGGAAUGAUGAUGGAUUUUAUUUCCUAUGUCUUGCCAAAGAUGAGAUGACUAUACAUAGACACAGGCCUGUUGAGGAUAAAAGUCCUCUAACACCCUUAAAUUGGAGAGUAAGGGAGAAAAGAGGAAAAGACAAAAGAGCAAUAAGGAGGAAGAAGAAGCAAGAAAGAGGAGAAGAAAAAUUGGCAGAAAGGAAUGAAGUGGGGACAGAAGUAAAGAGGGUUAAGAGAAGGAAUGAAGACUGAACAGUGAACCAGGAAGGAAGUGAAGUUUAUGAUUUAAAAAGUCUAGAAAGUGCCUAAUCAUCACAUAGUUACCAAGUUCUGAUUUGCUGAAAGCACAGAAUUAAAGUCCUGUAAAGUAAGAAGUGACUUUUGGGAAGACCUUUGGAGACCUAGCCCAGAUGUAAUUAACAUUGAGGACUGCACAACUAUGGCACCAUAUCUGGAUAAAAACUUAGUAGGAUCAAUGUGUAAUGUUCUGGUUAGUUUUCUGGAGGUCCUUGGACCAGCCUUUGUUUCAGCUGAGUAA